AGUCAUUAUCACAACAAAACAACUUUUAUGUUUAUAUAACAAGAACACAAAAACAAAUCAUAUAUUAAUGUACUAAUGCAUGGCACUAUUUUCCAGAAAAUCUCCAUCUGACUCCAGAAGUAACAUCCACACAAUAACUCUGUAGUAAUGUGAGAAUGACAGUAAGACUGGGGGAAUGUGGUAAAGGUGUUUCCAUACUUAGAGGACACUUUGCAUUGGCAGCACAUGCUUCAGUGAUCUGGGAGUGUUUAUAGUGCUGUGACUUUAACACUUCAUGACUGAGAGCUGCUGCUACAGCAACUUCACCCACAGCUACCAUGACACUGAUCCUCUGGACUCAAGAAUGCAGAGGUCAAGUCACAGUAACUCAGACUCCUGCAGUGACAUCUGUUCUUCCAGGAGAAACAGUCACCAUCAACUGUAAAACCAGUCAGGCAGUGUACACAACCUCAUAUGGUGAACGUUUACACUGCUAUCAGCAGAAACCUGGAGAAGCUCCUAAACCCCUAAUUAAAUAUGUAAAUCAGCUACAGUCAGGUAUUCCAGCUCGUUUCAGUGGCAGUGGAUCUGGAUCUGAUUUCACUCUGACCAUCAUUGGAGUCCAGACUGAAGAUGCAGGAGAUUACUACUGUCAGAGUAGGCAUUACAUCAGUAGUGCCACCCUGUACACACUGUGUUAUAGAGUCGUACAAAAACAUCCCUCAGUCAGAUUGUAGAGAGACUGAAC